GGAGGGGUGGCCGAGAGGCUGAAGGCGGCGGAUUGCUAAUCCGUUAUACGAUGUAAGUCGUAUCGUGGGUUCGAAUCCCAUCCCCUCCGCCA
rnacentral:tRNA from 28 species